AGUCCGCCAUAUUGAAAACUCGAGCAGAGGGGCAUUUUGUCUGCGUGUGCGCCUAUAAAAUUUGUUCGGCGCGUUCGGCAUCAUUUUGAUAUUCUCAGCGCUCUUCCGCGGGUUUUCAACUGGGCGAUCGACACCUUUUUGUAAUACUUUUUUGAGAGGGAUGAAAGAGUAUGAAAAGUUUACCACUAUUUCUAACUCUGUGGAUACUCGUGGAGUUUGCUGGCUCUUCGGAUGAGUAUAUUUUAAUGAUCAAAGUGCGAGCAAAAAGCGAAAAAAGGCCGAAAACUUGAAGUUUGAGAUUUGAUUUACUGACGAUCAAGAUGUGCACAUGAGACUACAAACCUUGAAGUCACAUAGAACACAAGGCUUUAAAAAAUGUUCUAGCUUCAGGAUCGAGUCGCUCUUACUACAACCUUCGGCGAAUUCGUUUUUGGGAGGUUGAGAUGGAUUUUCCAAGUCAUAGCUCACAACUGUCUUUGGCUUUUUUGCUCUCCAAGUCUGUUGUACUUGGGAGAUGUGAAUGGUUACCCCACUACAUAUAGUUGGUACUAUUGACAGAAUGGAUAGGUGUGACAUGUACUGUGCCUAGCUGGUAUUGAAGAGAAUGUAAUUAGUACCAGAAGCUUACUACUGGUAUAAAAUGAUCAAUCUUUUGUUCUUUCCUUGCAACUUGUGUCUAUACCUUAUUUGCAACUGUAAAAUUACCAAUAAAGUUUUUGAAAGUUUG